UACGGAGGGUGCAAGCGUUAUCCGGAUUCACUGGGUUUAAAGGGUGCGUAGGCGGCUAUAUAAGUCAGUGGUGAAAGCCCGCAGCUCAACUGCGGAACUGCCAUUGAAACUGCAUAGCUUGAAUCUGGUUGAAGUGGGCGGAAUACAUCAUGUAGCGGUGAAAUGCUUAGAUAUGAUGUAGAACACCGAUUGCGAAGGCAGCUCACUAAGCCAACAUUGACGCUGAGGCACGAAAGCGUGGGGAUCAAACAGG
rnacentral:rRNA from 1 species